GGGGGGGGGGGGGGGGGGGCGUGGGGGGGGGGGGGCGAGCGGGGGGGGGCGGGUGGCGGGGGGGAUUGGUGGCGAACGGGGGAGUACCGCGGGAGUAACCUGCCCUGAACUGUGGGGGCCGGCUGGGAGACCGGGUCUAAUACCGGAUAUGCGCGUCCACCGCAUGGUGGGUGUGGGAGAGAUUUAUCGGUUUUGGAUGGACUCGCGGCCUAUCAGCUUGUUGGUGAGGUCAUGGCUCACCAAGGCGACGACGGGUAGCCGGCCUGAGAGGGUGACCGGCCACACUGGGACUGAGACACGGCCCAGACUCCUACGGGAGGCAGCAGUGGGGAAUAUUGCACAAUGGGCGCAAGCCUGAUGCAGCGACGCCGCGUGAGGGAUGACGGCCUUCGGGUUGUAAACCUCUUUCAGUAGUGAAGAAGCGAAAGUGACGGUACCUGCAGAAGAAGCACCGGCUAACUACGUG
rnacentral:rRNA from 1 species